rnacentral:rRNA from 1 species
UACGAAGGGGGCAAGCGUUGUUCGGAAUUACUGGGCGUAAAGGGCGCGCAGGCGGCCGAUCAAGUCAGAUGUGAAAGCCCCGGGCUCAACCUGGGAAUAGCAUUUGGGACUGGUCGGCUAGAGUUCGGGAGAGGAGAGUGGAAUUCCCAGUGUAGAGGUGAAAUUCGUAGAUAUUGGGAAGAACACCGGUGGCGAAGGCGGCUCUCUGGACCGAUACUGACGCGUGAGGCGGCGAAAAGCGUGGGGAGCAACAGGAUAG